UAAUGUUAUAUGGGAGCUUUAAAAAAUAACGCUAAAUACAAUUGAGAGAGAGAAACCAACACAACUACCAGUAAAAUCCCUAAUCCCAAAUGAGAUGUAAAAUCCUCUUCGACCUUGCUCUGGCGAUCAACAGGCGGCCCUUUCGUCUUCUUCAAAAUCGUCCACUUGACCGCGACUGCUGGCCAGGAUUCUCGCCUUCUUGUUCGCGAGACUCUUCGAAUUAGCGCCGCUUUGGCCUCUGCUCUACCCGAUGUGUCGCCUUCCUCUCUGCCUUCGGUUGCUGGCCACCGCCAGACUAAUCGCAAGCUCGGCCUGCUCGAGGACGAGUUUAGCCUCCAGCUUGAGAUUGAUUUUCUGCGAGGAACUCGAUGGCCACCGAUGGCAGUACGUCGCUGAGAGUGACCCCUCCAGUCUAAGCUUUAAGAAAGGAUCCUUCCGAGCCCUCAUCUUGAAGAAAUAGAUUUUGGUAAUUGAGAUUCUGAAAUGUUUUUCUCUUAUUUUAUAUUGAGAUUAAUGCAUUCAGAUGUUAUCAUAUUUAAUUUUACAUUGAAUGAAUAAUUUAGAUUUGAUAUUUUUUGUAGAAAUAAAGGCUAUAAAUUAGAGUCUCUGUAAUGCUUAAUUUGAUAGUGUUAUUAGCGCUGUACGUUGGCAAAAUGAUUUUUAGGGACUGAGAUUCUGGCAUUUUUCUUUAAUUUUUUCCAGAUUCAUGCAUUCAGAUGUUUCCACAUUUUGUUUUUUGUAUUUUAUUAAACAUUUUGUUUUUAUUUAACCUUAAUUGAAAUUGCAUUAAAAACAAUUUGGAUUUGUCUGCACUCUACAAUAAGUAGUAAUUAUUCCCAAUGUUUGGUUUUUAAGAGAAUUUUUCUGCUAUGAUUUUUAAGAGAAUUCUUAAGGUAUUACUAUAAAAUUUUCUUAUUAAGUCUCUAAUUUUGUGGUCACUUGAGACUCACCUAAUCUAGUCCUGUCUUCCUCUCUCUUUCUCUCAUCUUGUUGUUGCCACUACUGCCAACCAACAACCAUGCCCAUCUCCGGCUCUGCCCAACAAUUGUAGUGGUCUUGGAGAGACGAUCCGCAGAGGAGAUUGCGCCGAGGCAACACAAAGAUACAUUUCAUCUCCUUCAGGAAUUACUCUGUCCACAAGAGCUGCUUUACUACAAGGAAUGAGUCCAAGUGUUUUUGUAGUCUAUAGACAAGCCAUAGCUACUUUGGUCAUUGCACCAUUAGCUUAUUUCACAAGAAAAAAAUCUGGAGGGUCUUCUAUGGGAUUAAGGAAUUUUAGCUUAAUAUUUCUGGUCUCCCUCAUAGGUGUAGCAAUCAACGAGAACAUUUAUUUUCAAGGUCUAUUAUUUGUUGGAUAUUAUUUUACCAGGAUCUUAGAUCUACUCACAAGUAUGUUUAUUAACAUCCUAAAUAUGAACUUUCUAAAACGAUAAAUUAAACACAUAUAUAGUUUAAGAAACCUUACAUUGGGU